GGUGAAAUGGCUGAGCCUAAGCAAUAAACUGUAAAUUUAUUUACGAAUAAUCUUAUUCUUUCACCA
rnacentral:tRNA from 1 species